GGAGGGGGAAGGAGGAAGCCGAGCUGUUGAGUCAGUGCUGCAGAGCUGCCUGCGAGAGCAGGGAGAGGCACAGCUGCAAAGGACAGAUCUGCUGAGCCACGGGAAAAUGGUUUGAGUAAUAAUCAACGCCUGCGGCUAUGUGGCCAGGAGGAUGAGGAGCCUGUGCAGCCGGGAGCCCCGGGAGCCACCGCCCUGCCCGGCACAGGCAGCGCCACAAAGCCAGCACCGGGAUGUAAAACCAGAGCUACCAGCACCCCCUGAAGCACCAGCCUCACUCCCCAGCAACACCAAACCCAUCCAGUGCAGGUCCUGACAAUAAAUCCCUCAUGGUCCUCCCAUGAAGGCCACCAGAUUCCUUCCCACUGAUUUUUGCUGGAUAUCCUGCAUCCCUGAGAUUGGAAAAUAUCAACAAAUCCCUGCUGGAUCUGCUCUCAGCACAGAAGCACAUUGAUAGAAAACAUCCUAAUCAGUGUCUCAUGACUAGAAUUUUCUGGUUGGCAGGGGAAAAAAAAAGAAGAUCCCCAAUGUGUGUCAGAAGAUUCCCAAAGUGUAUCAGAAGAUUCCCAAGGUGUAUCAGGAGAUUCCCAAUGUGUAUUAAAAGAUCCCCAAUGUGUGUCAGAAGAUCCCCAGUGUGUAUCAGAAGAUUCCCAAGGUGUAUCACAAGAUCCCCAGUGUAUAUCAGGAGAUCCCCAAUGUGUAUCAGGAGAUCCCCAGUGUGUAUCAGGAGAUCCCCAGUGUGUAUCAGAUCCCCAGUGUGUAUCAGAAGAUUCCCAAUGUGUAUCAGAAGAUUCCCAGUGUGUAUAAGAAGAUUCCCAAAGGGUAUCAGAUGUUCCUGGCACCCGUGGCCCAUGGAACCCCAGGGGAAGGGCAGGAGCCAUUGCAUCCUAGCAGGGAAACCGAUUUUUAUACAGUGAAACCAAAUUAUGCUCCCAGUGAUGUUGGUACAAAUUCAGACAAUUUCCAAAUCAGCUCCUGGGAUGGAAUAAGGAGUUUUGGAGCUCGGGUGUGUGGGAAUCCCUUUCCCAUGCCCAGUGCAGCACCCCCAGAGCAGAGGCUGUCCCCAACCCUGCCCUGUCACAGAGCAAUGACAGCAAGGCCCCAAAGCCCACAGCUGUGGGGGGGACCCUGCCUGACCCCUCCUGUGACAGCGGGACCACAGUAAAGGUGGAUGAAAUCAGA